CGUGCUUAACACAUGCAAGUCGAACGAUGAAGCCCAGCUGCUGGGUGGAUUAGUGGCGAACGGGUGAGUAACACGUGAGUAACCUGCCCUUAACUCUGGGAUAAGCCUGGGAAACUGGGUCUAAUACCGGAUAGGAGCGUCCACCGCAUGGUGGGUGUUGGAAAGAUUUAUCGGUUUUGGAUGGACUCGCGGCCUAUCAGCUUGUUGGUGAGGUAAUGGCUCACCAAGGCGACGACGGGUAGCCGGCCUGAGAGGGUGACCGGCCACACUGGGACUGAGACACGGCCCAGACUCCUACGGGAGGCAGCAGUGGGGAAUAUUGCACAAUGGGCGCAAGCCGAUGCAGCGACGCCGCGUGAGGGAUGACGGCCUUCGGGUUGUAAACCUCUUUCAGUAGGGAAGAAGCGAAAGUGACGGUACCUGCAGAAGAAGCACCGGCUAACUACGUGCCAGCAGCCGCGGUAAUACGUAGGGUGCGAGCGUUAUCCGGAAUUAUUGGGCGUAAAGAGCUCGUAGGCGGUUUGUCGCGUCUGUCGUGAAAGUCCGGGGCUUAACCCCGGAUCUGGGUGGGUACGGGCAGACUAGAGUGCAGUAGGGGAGACUGGAAUUCCUGGUGUAGCGGUGGAAUGCGCAGAUAUCAGGAGGAACACCGAUGGCGAAGGCAGGUCUCUGGGCUGUAACUGACGCUGAGGAGCGAAAGCAUGGGGAGCGAACAGGAUUAGAUACCCUGGUAGUCCAUGCCGUAAACGUUGGGCACUAGGUGUGGGGACCAUUCCCGGUUUCCGCGCCGCAGCUAACGCAUUAAGUGCCCCGCCUGGGGAGUACGGCCGCAAGGCUAAAACUCAAAGGAAUUGACGGGGGCCCGCACAAGCGGCGGAGCAUGCGGAUUAAUUCGAUGCAACGCGAAGAACCUUACCAAGGCUUGACAUGUUCUCGAUCGCCGUAGAGAUACGGUUUCCCCUUUGGGGCGGGUUCACAGGUGGUGCAUGGUUGUCGUCAGCUCGUGUCGUGAGAUGUUGGGUUAAGUCCCGCAACGAGCGCAACCCUCGUUCCAUGUUGCCAGCACGUCGUGGUGGGGACUCAUGGGAGACUGCCGGGGUCAACUCGGAGGAAGGUGAGGACGACGUCAAAUCAUCAUGCCCCUUAUGUCUUGGGCUUCACGCAUGCUACAAUGGCCGGUAAUGGGUUGCGAUACUGUGAGGUGGAGCUAAUCCCAAAAAGCCGGUCUCAGUUCGGAUUGGGGUCUGCAACUCGACCCCAUGAAGUCGGAGUCGCUAGUAAUCGCAGAUCAGCAACGCUGCGGUGAAUACGUUCCCGGGCCUUGUACACACCGCCCGUCAAGUCACGAAAGUUGGUAACACCCGAAGCCGGUGGCCUAACCCUUGGGGGGAGCCGUCG
rnacentral:rRNA from 1 species